UGAACGCUAGCUAUAGGCUUAACACAUGCAAGUCGAGGGGAAACGAUAUUGGAAGCUUGCUUCCGAUAGGCGUCGACCGGCGCACGGGUGAGUAACGCGUAUCCAACCUGCCCAUCACUUGGGGAUAACCUUGCGAAAGUAAGACUAAUACCCAAUGACGUCUCUAGAAGACAUCUGAAAGAGAUUAAAGAUUUAUCGGUGAUGGAUGGGGAUGCGUCUGAUUAGCUUGUUGGCGGGGUAACGGCCCACCAAGGCGACGAUCAGUAGGGGUUCUGAGAGGAAGGUCCCCCACAUUGGAACUGAGACACGGUCCAAACUCCUACGGGAGGCAGCAGUGAGGAAUAUUGGUCAAUGGGCGAGAACCUGAACCAGCCAAGUAGCGUGCAGGAUGACGGCCCUAUGGGUUGUAAACUGCUUUUAUAAGGGAAUAAAGUGAGAGUCGUGACUCUUUUUGCAUGUACCUUAUGAAUAAGGACCGGCUAAUUCCGUGCCAGCAGCCGCGGUAAUACGGAAGGUCCGGGCGUUAUCCGGAUUUAUUGGGUUUAAAGGGAGCGUAGGCCGGAGAUUAAGCGUGUUGUGAAAUGUAGACGCUCAACGUCUGCACUGCAGCGCGAACUGGUUUCCUUGAGUACGCACAAAGUGGGCGGAAUUCGUGGUGUAGCGGUGAAAUGCUUAGAUAUCACGAAGAACUCCGAUUGCGAAGGCAGCUCACUGGAGCGCAACUGACGCUGAAGCUCGAAAGUGCGGGUAUCGAACAGGAUUAGAUACCCUGGUAGUCCGCACGGUAAACGAUGGAUGCCCGCUGUUGGUCUGAAUAGGUCAGCGGCCAAGCGAAGGCAUUAAGCAUCCCACCUGGGGAGUACGCCGGCAACGGUGAAACUCAAAGGAAUUGACGGAAGGG
rnacentral:rRNA from 1 species